UCCUGGUUUAGGGCACCGGGGCUAAAGCCCCCCUUUAAAACCGGUUGGUUAUACCAACCGAUGUUAAAGGGUGCUGCCAGAGCUGCCACGUAGCAGGACCCUUUAACACUGGCUGGUAUAACCAACUGGGUUCUUUUUUUUUUUGUUUUCGGUUUAUUUAUUUGUUUCUGUUUAUUGUUUAUAUAUAAUAAUAAUAGGUUUCUCAAUACGUAUUUUAUGCUUUUAUAUAUAUAUAUAUUAUAUUAUAUAUAUAUAUAUAUAUAAAAUAUAUAAUAUAUAUAUAGAGUUUUUUCUCCGAAUCUCUAGAGCCGAUACUACAAAUGAAAGUGCUGGAGUGCUCCAAACUAAAAAAUAAUACUAGAAUCUUUUAAGCCUAGUAAUGUACUAGAAUUAUCCUAGAAUAAUAUACUAAAAAAAUAAUACUAAAAAGUAAUACUAGAAUAAUACUACAAACAAUAAUAUAUACAAAACACUAGAAAAUAAAAAUAUAUAUUAGAGACUUUAAUAAUUAGGCUAAAAUAAUACUAGAAUAAUACUAAAAUCAUUACUUCCCAAAAUCAUUACUAAAAUCAACACUACAAAAAAUAAUACUAAAAUCAUAUAUAUAUAUAUAUACUUAAUAAUUAGGCUAGCU
rnacentral:lncRNA from 1 species